GACGUAGGGCGCGAGCGUUUGUCCGGAUUUAUUGGGCGUAAAGAGCUCGUAGGCGGCUUGUCGCGUCGACUCGGUAAAACCCGCGGCUCGACCGUGCGGUCUGCAGUCGAUACGGGCAGGCGUAGAGUUCGGUAGGGGAGACGUGGAAUUCCUGGAUGUAGCGGUGAAAUGCGCAGAUAUCAGGAGGAACACCGGUGGCGAAGGCGGGUCUCUGGGCCGAUACUACGCUGGAGGAGCGAAAGCGUAGGGGAGCGAACAGG
rnacentral:rRNA from 1 species